UGCAGUCGAGCGGUACAGAGAUAGCUUGCUAUCUGCUGACGAGCGGCGGACGGGUGAGUAAUGCUUGGGAAUAUGCCUUAUGGGGGGGACAACAGUUGGAAACGACUGCUAAUACCGCAUAACGUCUACGGACCAAAGGGGGGGAUCUUCGGACCUCUCGCCAUUUGAUUAGCCCAAGUGAGAUUAGCUAGUUGGUGAGGUAAUGGCUCACCAAGGGGACGAUCUCUAGCUGGUUUGAGAGGAUGAUCAGCCACACUGGGACUGAGACACGGCCCAGACUCCUACGGGAGGCAGCAGUGGGGAAUAUUGCACAAUGGGCGAAAGCCUGAUGCAGCCAUGCCGCGUGUGUGAAGAAGGCCUUCGGGUUGUAAAGCGCUUUCAGUUGUGAGGAAAGGGGUGUAGUUAAUAGCUGCAUUCUGUGACGUUAACAACAGAAGAAGCACCGGCUAAGUGCGUGCGAGCAGCCGCGGUAAUACGAGGGGUGCAAGCGUUAAUCGGAAUUACUGGGCGUAAAGCGUUCGUAGGCGGUCUAUUAAGCAAGAUGUGAAAGCCCAGGGCUCAACCUUGGGAACUGCAUUUUGAGCUGGUAGACUAGAGUACUGUAGAGGGUGGUGGAAUUUCCAGUGUAGCGGGUGAAAUGCGUAGAGAUUGGAAGGGAACACCAGUGGCGAAAGCGGCCACCUGGACAGAUACUGACGCUGA
rnacentral:rRNA from 1 species